rnacentral:rRNA from 1 species
UACGAAGGGGGCGAGCGUUGUUCGGAAUUACUGGGCGUAAAGGGCGCGCAGGCGGCUCUGAAAGUCAGAUGUGAAAGCCCCGGGCUUAACCUGGGAAUUGCAUUUGAUACUCUGGAGCUUGAGUGUGGGAGAGGAGAGUGGAAUUCCCAGUGUAGAGGUGAAAUUCGUAGAUAUUCGCAAGAACACCAGUGGCGAAGGCGGCUCACUGGCCCGGAACUGACGCUGAGGUGCGAAAGCGUGGGGAGCAAACAGGG